GAUCAUCAAUGGCUGGAAUUGAUCCUGUAAAGUACCCUUCUCUACCCUCGAAUUACGUUACCAUAGCUGAGCUCAAAGAACGAUGGCUUAAAGAGAAAGAAAGAAAGCAGCAAGAAGAAAAGGAAAAACUGGAAAGUGGAGAAAAGGAAAAAUACCCAUUUCUUCGAAAUCAUGAAAACCGCAUUGCAAAUGGGUGUACUCAUAGUCGAGGUCCAGUUGGUAAAAAUCUGCAAAAGCGUGACAAUCACAGUGGGAAAGGUUGGCGUGUGGUGGGUUUGAUUGCUAAGGAACCCAAGUUAAAGGAGGUUAGGAUGAAUGGUCCAGUGGUUGAAGAAGGUGUUGAUGGAGCAAGGGGAAAAGAGAAAAUGGGCUAUUUUGGAAAGAGGGAAGCUAGGGUUGAAAGAGAUGGAUCAGGAGAUAUGGCUAAGGUUUCGAUGAUUGAUGUGGCGGAGGAAGAAAUGAUGGCUGUGGUGAGUGUGGAAAGGGGUGGAAAAGAAUCAUUUAAGGGUAAAUGUAAGUGGAAUAGCGGGAAUCAGGAGGUUGAAGAAGUGGCUACUGUUUGCAUGGUGGAGGUUGUAGGAGAAAGCAAUGUUGAUAGGGAAAUUGCAGGGGGGGAAUGUAGAGUUGGGUAUAGGGGGAAGAAAAAUAGCUGGAGUGCGGAGCAAUCAGGACAAAAACAGAAUGCAGGGAAGGAGAAGGUUUCAGUUGAUGUGAAAGAAAGAAUCACUGAGAAGGUGAGAGUGGGAGGUGCAUUUCGUGCUUACGGUGAUAAGGAAGUGGCUUCUGUUUGCGCGGUGGAGGUUGUAGGAGAAAACAAGGUAGAUAGGGAAAUCACAGGGCAGAAUUGUGGAGUUGGAAAUAGGGGAAAGAAAAAUGGUGGUAGAAAGAUGGGUGUUAGGAUUGGAGAAGUGAGUAAUAAAGCAGACAGUGUGGAGCAAUCAGGACGAAAACAUAAUGCAGGGAAGGAGAAGGUUACAGUUGAUGUGAAAGAAAGAACUAAUGAGAAGGUGAGAGUGAAAGGUGCAUUUGGUGAUAAGGAGGUUGAAGAAGUGGCUACUGUUUGCACGGUGGAGAUGGUAGAAGAAAUCAAGGUAAAUAGGAAAAUCGCAGGGAAGAAACGUAGAGUUUGGUAUAAGGGAAAGAAACAUAGCGGGAGAAAGAUGGCUGACAGGGUUGGAGAAGUUAGCGAUAAAGCAGACAGUGCGGAGCAAUCAGGACAAGAACUAAAUGCAGAAAAGGAGGAGGUUUCAGUUGAUGUGAAAGAAAGAGCUAAUGAGAAGGCGAGAGUGAGAGGUGCAUUUUGUGCAUACAGUGAUAAGAGCAAAGAUGUACUGAUAGAUUCAGAAGCCGGUCUGAAUAGGAUGAUUGAGGGAGAUCUUGGAGAUUUAUCAUUGACUGAUAGGAGGUAUGGUCAUGGGAGAUCGAGUGUCAGGGUGUAUGGUGACAAGUCAUAUGGGAGUUCCAGAAGGUAUGAUGUGCGAAAAAUGUUGAAGCAGAGGGAUAAUAGCUUUGCGUGGAUUAAAAAGGGGGAGUCUUCAAAUGGCAAUGUUGCUGAAAUUGAAACGCAGGGUUGAUUUUUUCAAGCCAAAGUACAAGUCGGAGUAAGCUGUGCUCUCAGUGAAUCAAGUUCUGGAUGCACUAGUGAGUGUGAAUCUGGAUGGACAAUGUACUUUGAUGAAUUCUCAUAUUCUUCAGAUCAAUUCAAUGGAGUUAAGGGGAGAAGUAUUUAUGAUGGUAGGGGAAGGUCAGC